GAUGAACGCUGGCGGCGUGCCUAAUACAUGCAAGUCGAGCGAACAGACGAGGAGCUUGCUCCUCUGACGUUAGCGGCGGACGGGUGAGUAACACGUGGAUAACCUACCUAUAAGACUGGGAUAACUUCGGGAAACCGGAGCUAAUACCGGAUAAUAUAUUGAACCGCAUGGUUCAAUAGUGAAAGACGGUUUUGCUGUCACUUAUAGAUGGAUCCGCGCCGCAUUAGCUAGUUGGUAAGGUAACGGCUUACCAAGGCAACGAUGCGUAGCCGACCUGAGAGGGUGAUCGGCGACACUGGAACUGAGACACGGUCCAGACUCCUACGGGAGGCAGCAGUAGGGAAUCUUCCGCAAUGGGCGAAAGCCUGACGGAGCAACGCCGCGUGAGUGAUGAAGGUCUUCGGAUCGUAAAACUCUGUUAUUAGGGAAGAACAAAUGUGUAAGUAACUAUGCACGUCUUGACGGUACCUAAUCAGAAAGCCACGGCUAACUACGUG
rnacentral:rRNA from 1 species